GAUCAACCUCGUCAAGGCUAAACUAUAAGUAAAGCUUUUCACAUCCCUGUCCUUACAAAUCUCGAGGACGAGAUUAUUUUUAAGGGGGUAGGAUUUGUAAAGCCCUAAAAUUCGUAUAAGGCAAAAAUAAUAAAAUAAUAAAAAAUACAUGUAUUUUUCAUGAAAGUGUUUUUGGAAUUAUUUAAAUUCAUUGUUGUGCAUACUCACUUAAGAGAAGUAAAGUAGACAAAUAGCAAAUAAAUAAAUAUAGAAAUAUGCAUCUCAUGCCGAGGUUCUUGUAAUUGUGCAUUUGUGUUUAAAUUCGCAAGACAAGUUUAAGUUAAAAAAUAUAGAAUUUGAAAAGGGAGGAGGAAAACAAUAUACACUAUGAAGAAAUAUAUAUAUAUAUAUAUAUAGGAAUGAAUAUAUUCUUUUAGGCUAAUACAUGUUGGCCGAAGUCCUAAUCGCAGCCAGCCCACGGGCACGUUCGUUUUUUUCUUCUUUAUUGUGUUGGCGGCAUUCUGCUUCAUCCUGACAUAUGGUAUGACAUCAGCCAUGCAUGUGGGCCCCAGCCGGCAGAUUCAUCCCCUUUCCCUGGAUCAGCUCGUACGGUACCCGUACUGAAUGCCCGUUAAUCCGGAUCUGAGCGAAACAAACUCAGCUAUGUGGCCGAGAUCGUGCCCCGCCGUUUGGGUCCUAGGGAUUCCUCAGGGCUAUAAAGAAACGCAUCAGGCAGCCUCUUCCAUCGCACCGCCAUGGACCUUCCAUCUUCUCCUCCACGGUACUUUCUCCACCCAGUACGACAGUACCCCAGGUCGACCUCCAUGGCGCGUGGCAACUCAAGCGCUGGCUCUCUCCCUCCCUUCAACACUCCAGGGCCACCGGCCCCUGCGCCUCCCUCUACUCCACACGGCCAGCAUGGCAGCCGGACGCUGAGAUCCAUGGCGAGCUCCUCGCGCCGUCUACUUUCCUCAUCGGCCGUGACUUCUCGACGCUCGUCCUCAAGCUCGGCCGUGUCGGUCGUCCCUGACCCCACCUUGGUGCAGCGCUACCAGCCGCCAUGACGUCGUCAUCUUCGUCGCCGAGCCAGACGCCGCCACUGUCCAUACCUGUCGCCAUGGUGGAUCGAAGGGUCCCGUCUUGCCCCUCUGCUCGGCUUCCUGCUCCCACGUCCGUUUCACCCGUCGGCAGAGGGCUUCGGCACUCCAAUCCUUGGUCAAGAACAGGUACCACAGGAUGAGGCGCAUGGAGGAUGCUGCGAUGUGUUCGUGAGAGGUCUAGGCUGUCGUCUCCCAGUCAACUUUGGGUUGCUGGACCGCUGUCUCCUUAUAAUGUAAUUAUUUAUUUUGUAUAGAACUUCUAUUAUGUAGUAAAGAUGUGACAUUCGAUCCUGUGCCAUGAUUCAUCAUAUGUGUGAGACUUGGUCCUAGCACACCUGGUGAUUAUGUUCGCGCCCGGGUCUUGGUGCCCCUGAAAUCCGGGUGUGACAGAAGUGGUAUCAGAGGAAUGUUGACUGUAGGACGAAACCUAGAUAGAACUAGACAACCCUUACCUACUUACCUUACUCUGAUUCUUUCCUAAGCUUAUCUUGAUCAUUUCUCAUCUAUUUCCGCUUUACUCUGAUUAUUCUUACUUUUUCUUUCUAAAGACAAAUGUGGAUUUCACACUUUGAAAUCCCAUGGCUAAAGUGACCAUUAUGUAUAGGAGACCUAAUCUUAAAGAACAAAAAAAACCAAAACUAUUUUUAUACAUAUCUAUUUGCUGCAAUGUUUGUUCUUAUGAUAAUUGUGUGAUUUGGAUCUUUGAUUGAGUGGGAUGAGUUGUGGAGUAGUGUCCACAAUUGCAUCUGCAUAUACUUAGGCAUAUAUAUAACUAAUCAAACUUAGAUUGUCCCUCAUUAAAAAUGUAUCUAGCCUAAUAGAUCCAUCUUAUCUUGAAAGACUCUAUCUUAUCUUAAUGGAUUCAUCUUAUCUUGAAGGAAUCAUCUUAUCCUAACCACUGUACUUAUCUCAUCCUAGUAUAACAACCAUGAUCUAAUCCAAAAUAAUCAGAUCUUAACUAGUUUAAUCUAGUCACACCAACCUAAUCUAGAUUCUAUCUAAUCUAUUAUGAUCUAAUCUAGAGAGAGUUAGUUAAUACUGGUACAAAAGAUAAGGCCAUACCCCUAAGCCUAAAUUGGUGACUUAGAUCAACUCGGCCAUACACAACAACUUGACCUACAUAAUAGGUUACAUAACCUAUCCCACCCAUAUGGAAUCAAACAACCAAACCAGAUUCAGACUAAUCUCAUUUAAUCUCAUAGCCAUCUACUAAACUAGCUGCUCUACCUACGUGUUAACCUCUUCUCCCAAACCCGGAAGGAGACACCAAGGCUCAAGAAGGAAAAGAUCAACCUCGUCAAGGAAGGAGAGGAAGUCAAACUCGAUCUUCCGAUGCGUUACCACUCAACACGGAAUUCUUUCCCAUCAUAAACUUGCUUACCCUAGGUUAUCCUUGCCCUAACCUACCUUUUAUCCUAUACAAUCAGGUGACUAUACAUAUAUAUACCCAUGCUUUCAUAACCACUUUUAACAUGAAACUUAUUAUUCUUAAACUAAUUAGAAGUUAAAGGCUAAACUAUAAGUAAAGCUUUUCACAUCCCUGUCCUUACAAAUCUCGAGGACGAGAUUAUUUUUAAGGGGGUAGGAUUUGUAAAGCCCUAAAAUUCGUAUAAGGCAAAAAUAAUAAAAUAAUAAAAAAUACAUGUAUUUUUCAUGAAAGUGUUUUUGGAAUUAUUUAAAUUCAUUGUUGUGCAUACUCACUUAAGAGAAGUAAAGUAGACAAAUAGCAAAUAAAUAAAUAUAGAAAUAUGCAUCUCAUGCCGAGGUUCUUGUAAUUGUGCAUUUGUGUUUAAAUUCGCAAGACAAGUUUAAGUUAAAAAAUAUAGAAUUUGAAAAGGGAGGAGGAAAACAAUAUACACUAUGAAGAAAUAUAUAUAUAUAUAUAGAAAUGAAUAUAUUUUUUUAGGCUAAUACAUGUUGGCCGAAGUCCUAAUCGCAGCCAGCCCACGGGCACGUUCGUUUUUUUUCUUCUUUAUUGUGUUGGCGGCAUUCUGCUUCAUCCUGACAUAUGGUAUGACAUCAGCCAUGCAUGUGGGCCCCAGCCGGCAGAUUCAUCCCCUUUCCCUGGAUCAGCUCGUACGGUACCCGUAUUGAAUGCCCGUUAAUCCGGAUCUGAGCGAAACAAACUCAGCUAUGUGGCCGAGAUCGUGCCCCGCCGUUUGGGUCCUAGGGAUUCCUCAGGGAUAUAAAGAAACGCAUCAGGCAGCCUCUUCCAUCGCACCGCCAUGGACCUUCCAUCUUCUCCUCCACGGUACUUUCUCCACCCAGUACGGCAGUACCCCAGGUCGACCUCCAUGGCGCGCGGCAACUCAAGCGCUGGCUCUCUCCCUCCCUUCAACACUCCAGGGCCACCGGCCCCUGCGCCUCCCUCUACUCCACACGGCCAGCAUGGCAGCCGGACGCUGAGAUCCAUGGCGAGCUCCUCGCGCCGUCUACUUUCCUCAUCGGCCGUGACUUCUCGACGCUCGUCCUCAAGCCCGGCCGUGUCGGUCGUCCCUGACCCCACCUUGGUGCAGCGCUACCAGCCGCCAUGACGUCGUCAUCUUCGUCGCCGAGCCAGACGCCGCCACUGUCCAUACCUGUCGCCAUGGUGGAUCGAAGGGUCCCGUCUUGCCCCUCUGCUCGGCUUCCUGCUCCCAUGUCCGUUUCACCCGUCGGCAGAGGGCUUCGACACUCCAAUCCUUGUGAGGUUUCGAGUCACCUGAAGUUCAUCCUGUCACCUGGAAUCUCAAGUGUCAGGCAAGUUGUGCCCUUGAUCACUUCUUUUACCCAUUCAUGUUCUUAUUAUUCAUAAUGAUCUGCAUAGGAUAAUUUUGCUGGGACCCAAUAGGUUACCCUAGAUUUUAACUAUCUUUAUACCUUGUUGAAACACUGGUUUUACUACUAAAGUUUUGGGUAGUACAUGCUAUUGCUUUAUAUGGUUUUGGGUAUAGAGGUAUUCACUACUCAUGAUUACACUUGUUAUUAUUUGUUCAUUAUUCUAUGUUCAUGAUAAGAUCAUUAUGUUAAUGGGAACAUGGAGAACCACCCGGGAAAACAGUGCUACCACAAGGGUAUAAUGGGACGCCCUUGGCUGAUUAACUAGGAAAGCUAGUGGAGGGCUACCUUACCCGAAAGGGGCAAGGGCAGUAGGGGAGUGGUCAGUGUAGGGAGGUCCUUGGUUGAUUUUGCUGCGAUGGCGGUCAGGCAAGAACCCUACACUGGAGCUUCCUAUAAACUAUAGCGGGUAGUCUGAAGCUAGUGGAACUUUGUAAAGGCCUCGUAGUGGUACCCUGCCUCGCUUCCUUGGUAGAGGUGUAUGGAGUCUGAUCAACUCCGUGGCAAAUGGGUAACACGACUUGUGGGUAAAGAUGUGCAACCUCUGCAGAGCGUAAAACUGGUAUACUAGUCGUGCUCACGGUCAUGAGCGGCUCGGACACUCACAUGAUUAAUCUAUGGAACUUAAACUUAAUCUGUCAUUUCAUUGCAUUUGGGAUUAUUUUAUUAUUACUUUUAUUUAUUAUUUAUAAGGUUUGGUAUUUACUUACACUUAGUAACUGCUAAUAAAAUUUUGACCAACUUAUAAAAGCAAUGCUCAGCUUCAGCCUUUAUUUCAUUGAUCAGCCUUACACUUCAUGAACUCCCACCUUUGGCGAGUUCAUGCACAUUAUUCCCCACAACUUGUUGAGCGAUGAACGUAUGUGAGCUCACUCUUGCUGUCUCACACCCCCCCACAGGUCAAGAACAGGUACCACAGGAUGAGGCGCAUGGAGGAUGCUGCGAUGUGUUCGUGAGAGGUCUAGGCCGUCGUCUCCCAGUCAACUUUGGGUUGCUGGACCGCUGUCUCCUUAUAAUGUAAUUAUUUAUUUUGUAUAGAACUUCUAUUAUGUAGUAAAGAUGUGGCAUUCGAUCAUGUGCCAUGAUUCAUCAUAUGUGUGAGACUUGGUCCCAGCACACCUGGUGAUUAUGUUCGCGCCCGGGUCUUGGUGCCCCUGAAAUCCGGGUGUGACAGGAUACCUUAGUAAAAAUAUCAACGUCAUCCACGAGAGUUUGCAUCUCUA